GGAUGAGAUGCUGCAGGUCCACAUGUGGAUGAGAUGCUGCAGGUCCACAUGUGGAUGAGAUGCUGCAGGUCCACAUGUGGAUGAGAUGCUGCAGGUCCACAUGUGGAUGAGAUGCUGCAGGUCCACAUGUGGAUGAGAUGCUGCAGGUCCACAUGUGGAUGAGAUGCUGCAGGUCCACAUGUGGAUGAGAUGCUGCAGGUCCACAUGUGGAUGAGAUGCUGCAGGUCCACAUGUGGAUGAGAUGCUGCAGGUCCACAUGUGGAUGAGAUGCUGCAGGUCCACAUGUGGAUGAGAUGCUGCAGGUCCACAUGUGGAUGAGAUGCUGCAGGUCCACAUGUGGAUGAGAUGCUGCAGGUCCACAUGUGGAUGAGAUGCUGCAGGUCCACAUGUGGAUGA